rnacentral:rRNA from 1 species
AUUGAACGCUGGCGGCAUGCUUUACACAUGCAAGUCGAACGGUAACAGGCCGCAAGGUGCUGACGUGUGGCGAACGGGUGAGUAAUGCAUCGGAACGUGCCCAGUCGUGGGGGAUAACUACUCGAAAGAGUAGCUAAUACCGCAUACGAUCUAUGGAUGAAAGCGGGGGACCGUAAGGCCUCGCGCGAUUGGAGCGGCCGAUGUCAGAUUAGGUAGUUGGUGGGGUAAAGGCUCACCAAGCCAACGAUCUGUAGCUGGUCUGAGAGGACAACCAGCCACACUGGGACUGAGACACGGCCCAGACUCCUACGGGAGGCAGCAGUGGGGAAUUUUGGACAAUGGGCGCAAGCCUGAUCCAGCAAUGCCGCGUGCAGGAAGAAGGCCUUCGGGUUGUAAACUGCUUUUGUACGGAACGAAACGGCUCUGGUUAAUACCCGGGGCUAAUGACGGUACCGUAAGAAUAAGCACCGGCUAACUACGUG